rnacentral:misc_RNA from 1 species
GAUGAGUUUUAUUGGAGUCUCACUUCUUCGGGGAAUUUCCCCGUUAAAAUGGGGUAUAAUUUGCUUACAGGGGUGUCUUCAUCUUCCAGUUCCUGCCGGCGAAGAUGCGUGGAAAUAGCAAGGUCCACAACGGGUUAGAUCCUUUCUUUUGUUAACGGCACAUGAUAAAUUACUGACCACUGUGAAAGAACUCGACAUCAUUUGUGUGAAGUUGGAGAAUGUCA